AACAAACGCUGGCGGCGUGCCUAAUACAUGCAAGUCGAACGGGGAAAGCUUUCGGGUGAGUACUAGUGGCGCACGGGUGAGGAACGCGUGGAUAAUCUGCCUUAGAGUGGGGGAUAACUAGUCGAAAGAUUAGCGAAUACCGCAUAAGACCACAGGAGCUGCGGCUCAAGGGGUCAAAGGUUUUUCGCUCUAAGAUGAGUCCGCGUAAGAUUAGCUAGUUGGUGAGGUAACGGCUCACCAAGGCGACGAUCUUUAACUGGUCUGAGUGGAUGAUCAGUCACACUGGAACUGAGACACGGUGCAGACUCCUACGGGAGGCAGCAGUAGGGAAUAUUGCACAAUGGAGGAAACUCUGAUGCAGCGACGCCGCGUGAGUGAUGAAGGCCUUCGGGUCGUAAAGCUCUGUCGCAGGGGAAUAACACAAUGAAUGUACCCUGUAAGAAAGGAUCGGCUAACUUCGUGCCAGCCGCCGCAGUAAAAC
rnacentral:rRNA from 1 species